rnacentral:misc_RNA from 1 species
UACGGGGGGGCAAGCGUUGUUCGGAAUUACUGGGCGUAAAGGGCUCGUAGGCGGCCAACUAAGUCAGAUGCGAAAUCCCCAGGCUCAACCUGGGAACUGCAUCUGAUACUGGUUGGCUUGAAUUCGGGAGAGGGAUGCAGAAUUCCAGGUGUAGCGGUGAAAUGCGUAGAUAUCUGGAGGAAUACCGGUGGCGAAGGCGGCAUCCUGGACCGACAUUGACGCUGAGGAGCGAAAGCUAGGGGAGCAAACGGG